GAGCUCCCUCCUGCAGUCGGUAGAGCCUGAGACUCUUAAUCUCAGGAUUGUGGGUUUGAGCCCCAUGUUGGGCA